ACCACCAUCAUCUCCACAACUUGCUCAUCUUCCCAAACUGAAACUCUGUCCCCAUCAAAUUACUCACUCCCAAUCCUCCUGCCAGCCCCUGGCACCUACCUUUCCACUUUCUGUGUCUCUGAAUUUGAGGACUCCAGGGACCGCAUACGAGCGGAUCAGACAGUGUGUGUCAUUUGGUGACUGACUUCCUUCACUGAGUGUUGUGUCCUCAGGGUUCAUACCCACUGUGGUGUGUGCCAGGAUUUCCUACCUCUCUAAGGCUGAGGAAUAUUCCCCUGUCUAGAUGGACCAUGUCUGGUUUAUCCCUUCAUUUGUUGAUGGACACUUAGGUGGCGUCCACCUUUUGUCUGUUGACAAUAACGUUGUCACAGACAUGUGUUUGAGUCCCGGUUUUCCCUUCCUUGGAUGCACACCCAGAAGUGGAAGUGCUGGGUCCUGUGGUGACUCCGUGGGAUAUUUUGAAGGAUUGUCACACCCUUUUCCACAGUGUUGCACCGUUUUACAUUCCUGCCGGCCGUGCAUAAGGGCCUGGGUAUCUCCACAUCCUCACCGAUGCUUAUUUUCUGCUUUUUUGAUAAACUGGCUUCUCUUUGGGACAAGACUGUAGGGUCAAGGGCCAGGGCAGGAGGAGCUGUCCAGGUGGGAGCAGAGGUGCUGAGUGGCGGUUGUGUCCUGGGAUGGUGGGAGGUGGGGCACAGGCGUUGCUGCUUGGUUAAACGUUGGGUUGAGAGAAAAGGAAACACCGGGGAGGGGUCCAGUGUCUUUGGCCUGAGCAACAGACAGGAAGGCAUUUCCUCUGCUCUGAGGGAUGUGGAAGGAGCAGCUGGGGACAGGAGGGCCAGAGGGCUAGAGUUGGAUGCGUUAUGUCUGAGAUGCUCUUUGGCUGUGGAUGUGGUGGGGAUGGGUUAGGGCUGAGUGGCAGGUGGACGGGUGAGACUGGGCUCCGAGGGAAGUUUCUGCUGCAGAUACAAAUGCAGUCUACUGUGAACCGCCUGCAUCUGGCUAUGAGACGAGGAAAGGGGUCUGCUGUGACCUGUGUAUCUCUGGUCACAUAAUGACCCAGCUAACAGAAUGAAACACAGAAAGCACCUGAUGGGAUGCAGCGAGGGAACGUGAGAACAGCCACUCAGCAGCAGCGUUAGAAAAGGCUCCUCCUUGGAAGGGCUGUGGCAUUUGUCUUCUCAUCCUCCCCUGUCCUCUGUACCUCUCGGUCUUUCCUCUGUCCUUUAAGCCAGCUCCCUCCUUUUCCCCUAAUCUCCCCUCUUCCCCCAGGUGACACCUGAAUCCCGAGGGCCAAGAAAUUCCUUUUGUAGGUCUCACAGAAACCUUUUAUUCUCAGGUCACAGUGAUUUCCAUUUCAUAUCCCAAGCUGCAGCUAGGAGCCACCGAGUCUUAAUUAUGGAAACUCUUAUGCAAACCUGACGAAUGUUCGUGUCUUCUCGUCAGGCCUAUGUUCAUGGUCUGAUGGCUCUCUGGGCGUCAGCCAUGUGGGAACGAGAGGAACAGGUCCCACAUGGAAUCUGCCCGUGUGAUUUCCUGGCUGGAGCUCUCCCUGGAGCUGGAGAAGCCUCCAGCCCCCCAUGCGUCCCCCCAGCGUCUCGUUUUUGGGCCUCACUUCAGCUGUCUCCCUGCAUGAGAUGAUGUCAUGAUAACCAAUUCUUCCCACCUCUUCCCCCUGCUCCCACCACCACUGAGGUUCUUCCCAGGUUUCCAGGGUACUCCAAGACCUGCCCCCUUUGUAAGAUCCUUUCUCACCAUCACAGCCUGUAUUCUUUCCCACUUCUCUGAAAUCUCAAAGCUCUUUUGUUGUUGCUGGUUUCAAGCCAUCUGAUCAUGUAAUCAUGUUGUUUUGUGGGAAGGUCUUGCUCUUCUACUCUGACAGGCAGAGCUUCUGAGGAUAGAGGUCAUGUCUGUGAUUCGUUUGGUCUCCUGCUGGUUUUCUGGCCCCGUGGUGGGCAGAUCAGAACAGGCUCCACCAGUAUUGUUGAAGGAGAGACAGAGCCUACCCUUCAUACACCUUGCACAUGAGGGUGUCUCACAGUUUCUUCCACAUAAAUAGAUGGCUUCUUAUAGGGCAUUACAGGGUAAACAAUAACAGAAGCAAGAUUACCCUGAAAGAUGGCCCAUUGUUUUUGGUGACGGUGGUCAUCUUCCUGCCAGUAGUUCAAUCUAAUGUCGGUACAAGUGUCUGGAUGUGGAAACAAAGAGCUCCUUGUGGGAGGCUUUAACCUGGCCCCAUGCUCCCAUGGAGAUCUGGCGAUGAACUAGAGCUAAGAUGGGUCUGUGCACUUUGGAAGACAGCAGAACUGGCUCCAUCUUACUCUUGAAUCUUCACCAGGAUCAAAUGUUUGGGGACAUGGGACGUUGGUGUGUUGGAGGAAUGUGUGUCUUUGGUUGGCCCAAGCACUGAGGAACUGUGUCUCAGAAGCCCAGUGCGUGCUCCAGAUGUUUCAGUGAGACCGCAUAGUAUGAGGGCAAGGAGAAGCGCCUCUCAACACAGCACCGGGUGUGCGCCUCCAUCUCAGGCCACGCAGAGCCACUGCAAUGCAGCACCCGGAUCUCCCUUCAGGAAAAAGGAUGAAUUCCUCCAGCUCCCGGGAAUGCUGCCAGCAGACAGCACUCACCGUCGGCAUUCCCUGGGAACCGCUUCAGUGAGAAACAAAACCAGAAUUCUAACUCCGAGUUAAACCUAAGCAAACAGUGGUGAACACAAUGGAUUAUGGAGCUGUAACCGGAGCUGGGCCCAACCCUGAGCAAAUGGUGCAGCCAGCGAAGUGUGUCUUUGAUGCCCUCUCCUUUCUGUGGGCUCCACCUGCACCCUGAUCUGGGCUCCCUCACAGGCAUCUCCAUGAACUUCAAAGCUGGAACUCCACCCACAGCUGAGCUGCACCCAGACAGAGAUGCGGGCAGAGCUUUCUAAGGAACCCAAAUUAGCAGCUCAUGGACGCAGCGUUAAUUUGCUCUUGCUGCUGGCUGACUUUGAACUUAGUAUCUCAGUUUUCUCUCUGUGUCACCGGCUUUGAACUUCAAUGCUUUGGUGCCUGCAUUCUCUUUAUAACCCACUGUGCCCCGGGACCUCAGAGGGCCCCACGAACCCCAACCACCACCUGCCUGGACUCAGCCUGCCUCUGCUGCUCAAAUCCUCACCUGCCUCAGCACCCCAAGACAGACACCUCGGGCCCCGCAUGGGUUGGAGACAUUUAUUGGCAGUCCUCAUGCACUUCUCUGACCUUGGAGGGCUCUUUUGGUUUAAGACUGAAGCCCAGGACGGAGCAAAAGGAGAUGGAGCUGAGAAAAUGGGAUCAUCCUGUGUCUAUCCUGGGAUUCUGGGCUUUUCUGUCCAUUAAUUCACCGAAGGAGGAAACUUAGCUCCCUGAUCAUUCAAAACACUUGUGCCUUUUCCCCUCAACUCCUCAUUUUCUUUUCCUGACCAACCUCCAGUCGUCUGAUAAAUAAAUCAGUGUGACUUG